rnacentral:rRNA from 1 species
UACGUAGGGGGCAAGCGUUGUCCGGAAUCAUUGGGCGUAAAGAGCGUGUAGGCGGCCAGAUAAGUCCGCUGUGAAAUCUCGAGGCUCAACUUCGAGCUGUCGGUGGAAACUGUCUGGCUAGAGUCCGGAAGAGGAGAAUGGAAUUCCUGGUGUAGCGGUGAAAUGCGCAGAUAUCAGGAAGAACACCCGUGGCGAAGGCGGUUCUCUGGGACGGUACUGACGCAGAGACGCGAAAGCGUGGGGAGCGAACAGG